rnacentral:RNase_P_RNA from 1 species
GCGGGAAGGAACACGGUCGCGCCCUUCGGGGUGAGGAAAGUCCGGGCACCGCAGGGCAGGAUGCCAGCUAACGGCUGGGCGGCGAGCGAACCGGGCCGCGCUUGAGAGGCGCGCGGUCACAGGCGCGAAGCCGACGGACAGUGCCACAGAAACCAGACCGCCCGCCGCAGAGCCGCCCUCACGGCGCGGCGGGUCAGGGUGAAACGGUGCGGUAAGAGCGCACCAGGCCGCCUGGAAACAGCGCAGCGUCUGGUAAACCCCAUCUGGUGCAAGACCCGACAGCGGAGGAGGGUGGCCCGCCCGUUGAUUCCCAGGAUGGUCGCUUCAGGAGCGCGGCGACGCGUCUUCGCAGAGAGAUGACCGUGACCCCGAUUCGGGGGACAGAACCCGGCUUACUCCCUUCCCGCGCCA